rnacentral:rRNA from 1 species
CAAGAACGAAAGUUAGGGGAUCGAAGACGAUCAGAUACCGUAGUAGUCUUAACCAUAAACGAUGCCGACCAGCGAUUAGGAGACGUUGAAUACAAAACACCACCAUCGGUGCGGUCGUCCUUGGCGUCUCGGUUUCGGCCGGGGUGCGGGGACGGCUUAGCCCGGUGGCACCGGUGAAUGACUCCCCUAGCAGCCUGUGUGAAAUCAUAAGUCUUUGGGUUCCGGGGGGAGUAUGGUCGCAAGGCUGAAACUAAAGGAAU